GAAGAGCUGUUGUAACUGAUGAGAGAGAACAUAAUAUGAUAAAUGGUGAUGGAAGUGAUAAAUCUGGAAGAGAAAAUAUUGGUGGUGUUUUUGUUGCUGAAGAUAUUUCUAGCACUGGUAGUGAUGAAAAUGAUAGUUCGAAGAGAAAAUAUUGGUGGUGUUUUUGUUGCUGAAGAUAUUUCUAGCACUGGUAGUGAUGAAAGUGAUAGAUCUGGAAGAGAAAAUAUUGGUGGUGUUUGUUUUGUUGCUGAAGAUUGUUCUAGCACUGGUAGUUCUAUUG
rnacentral:lncRNA from 1 species